GGGCAAGUAGCUCAGCCUGGUUAGAGCGCAGCGUUGACAUCGCUGAGGUCGUAGGUUCGAACCCUAUCUUGCCCACCA
rnacentral:tRNA from 1 species